UACGUAGGGCGCAAGCGUUAUCCGGAAUUAUUGGGCGUAAAGAGCUCGUAGGCGGUUUGUCGCGUCUGCCGUGAAAGUCCGGGGCUCAACUCCGGAUCUGCGGUGGGUACGGGCAGACUAGAGUACUGCAGGGGAGACUGGAAUUCCUGGUGUAGCGGUGAAAUGCGCAGAUAUCAGGAGGAACACCGGUGGGCGAAGGCGGGUCUCUGGGCCGAUACUGACGCUGGAGGAGCGGAAAGCGUGGGGGAGCGAACAGG
rnacentral:rRNA from 1 species